GGCUGAGGAAGCAGCUGCGGUCUGAGUCAUCCUCCGGAAAACGAAGGAGGCCGUUUCCAUCACCAUCUGUCUCCUUGGGAAGAGAAGGAGGAGGAGCGGGUAGAGGGCUGGGGGGGGAGGAGGGGGCGCGCCUCACCUCGGGCCUUUCCUGGGCCUGGCUGGGGUAGGCGUGGGGUUUUUUUUCCCAAAGCAGCUUUCACUUCGGCCCCCGCAGGGCCCUCCGAUCAGUCGGGAGGGGUGUCCCAUGCUCUUCAUAGACAAGCAGGCCACGCGGCGGGGGGGGCUCCUGCCAAGGGACUUCUCGGGGAUUCCCCCGGGGACUCCCCUACCCCAGUUCAGGGACCCCAGAGUCUGCAGGACUGUCCUGAGCUUAGCACAGCACAGGGGGAUGGAGUACCAACCCCCUCCCCCAAGUAUUGUAGUGGUGCAGAUGUCCCCUGUCCCCUGGGGCCCUGGGAACCUUGGCCACUAGGGGCAGCUGUGGGAGGGGCUGGGCUGAGUGUAGUCGAUGCCACGCCACCAGGAAGAAUCCUGCAGGGGCUCAGACAGGGCUCCACCCCCUCCCCCGCCCCCUCCCCCCACCCCCCUCCCCGGCUUCUUAGGUGUGCUAUUUGUCUCUCUGGGUUUCUGGUUUCUUGUCUAAGAUGGGGCUGGCGGGGCAAGGGGUGUUCGGGGUGAUCGUGCACUGCCCCUGCCAUGUCAGAGCCAGCAGGAAGCCACCAGACGGUGGGGCAUGGCACCCCGGCCCCUGAGGCUGGUGGAGGUGCCCACAGGGCUAAGCCUAGUCCUGGUGAGGGCCAGCCCUCCGACCCUGUGCGGCCUGGUUCGGAGAUGUGGAAGUCAGCAGGAGCCUUUUGGCUGCAAGAAACCCAACCUGAAGGAGGCAAGGAGAGAAAGAGGGAUCGUCCCACCGAAGUCCCACGGGGAUGGGAGGGGGCCUCUUCCUAGCUCCUAUCUCAGCGGGGCGCCCUGUCCCUGGUCCGCUUUGUGUCCCCCGCCCGCUGGCCCUGUCUGCCUACACCCCACUGCUCCUUGCCCAGGGCCCUUGUAGGUAGGUCCAUGUGGUGAUGAUGCGCCCCCACCCCGGGGAGAUGCCCUCUACCCUCAGGCGUUCUCUGUGACUGGGGCCGGGGGUGUGGGCUGCUUUCCACAAGACCUUGGUUCCACAAGAGGGCAGUUCUCCAAAAGAGGAGGGCUGGUUAGCAAGAUCUCUACAGGUGCUGUGGGCCCAACCAACCGGUAGGAGUCCCUUCCCUACAGAUGGAGGCAGGCCUCUCUCGAAAGAUGUGGCUCCCGGGGCUCAGGACCUCCAGGUGGGAGAGGUGUAUUGACUGGACACCAGCACUGAGAAAGCCUCUGAACGGCAGCCGGGAGAAGCUGGUAAGCUUGGCCUUGGCCACGGGGGUGGCCAGCUGUCUGGGAGCAGCUCCUUGGUGCCGGGAAUUGAGAGGUCACCUUUUAUGUGAAAUCAGGUAGGGGCUGGGAAGGCUUUGAAGCCUGCAGGCAGGUUCCCUCCUUCCCAUGUCAAGGAUACCUGGCCCAUGCCCCAGCACACUGGGCUUCCUCCUGCCUGGGGCACAGCAGAGCAUUUCCAUCUGAUAGAUACAGAAGCUGAGCAGAUUAAUCCCAGACAUGGUAAGAUGUGUUCGAGCUGGGGUUCUUCCUAUCUGCAAGCACUUCCUUUGCUUCACCCUGACUCUGUCAUGGGAUACUUAAGGCUGUUUGCUGUCAAAACCAUUAUAGUAUCCAGUAUCCAUCCAUCCACAUACCCACCCACCUACCAUCCAUCCAUCUAUCCAUCCACUCAUCCAUCCAUCUAUUCAUCCAUCCACCCAUCCAUCCACCUAUCCACCCACCAUCCAUCCAUCCACCCACCCACCCACCCAUCAUCCAUCCAUCCAUCCAUCUACCCACCCACCCACCAUCCAUCCAUCCAUCCAUCCACCCACCUAUCCACCCACCAUCCAUCCAUCCAUCCACCCAUCCAUCCAUUCAUCCAUCUAUCCAUCCAUCCACCCAUCCACCUACCCACCCACCAACCAUCCAUCCAUCCCUCCAUCCAUCCACCUACCCACCCACCCACCAUCCAUCCAUCCAUCCACCCAUCCAUCCACUCAUCCAUCUAUCCAUCCAUCCACUCAUCCAUCCAUCCACCUACCCACCCAUCCAUCCAUCCACCUACCCACCCACCCACCAUCCAUCCAUCCAUCUAUCCACCCACCAUCCAUCCAUCUACCCAUCUAUCCACCUACCCACUCACCCACCAUCCAUCCAUCCACCCAUCCAGCCAGCCACUCAUCCAUCUAUUCAUCCACCUACCCACUCACCAUCCACCCUUCCAUGCACCCAGCUGCACAUCCAACCACCCACCCACCUACCAUUCACCCAUCUACCCAUCUAUCCAUCCAUCCGAUAUUUAUUGAAAGCCUGCCUUGUGCUGGGUGCAGGUUGGUACUUGUUAAACCAGUUAGGCAAAGUCACAGCAACGCCCUUGAGUAGGGUUGUCAGAUUUAGUAAAUAAAAAUACAGGACAUCCAGUUAAAUUUGAAUUUCAGAUAAACAAUGAAUACUGUUUUGGUAUAAGUAUAUAAGUAUGUCCUAUGCAAUAUUUGGUAUAAGUAGGUCCCAGAUAUUGCAUGGGACAUACUUAGGCUGAAACUUACUUGUUGUUUGUCUGAAAUUCAGAUUUAACUGGGCAUUCUGUGUUAUCUGUAACCCUGUCCUGUUCAGCCGGUGAAACAAUAGGGUGAUAGACACGUCCACAUUCCUCCUGAAAGAUCUAACUUAAUCCUUAUCAAAAUCUAUGAACUGGGUGACAUGACCCCCAGUUUAUUCACCUGAGUCACUACUGAUGGAAGGCCUUCUGGCUUUUGGCCUUUGUAUUGCUCUGAGCGUUCUGGUCGGUGUCGUUUGUGCUGGGUAAAUCUCAGAUGUGUGCCUGCGUACGUUCAGCUCUCACAGAUGCCACCAAACGCGUUUCCAAAGCAGUGGUGCUGUUGUGCUUCUGUCACCCGCAAAGUCUACAUCCUUGCCAAUAACUGGAAGAUUUCGUGUUUUCCACGUUGACCCUUCUGUGGGUUUGUGGUAUGAUGUUGGGAUUUUAAUCUGCAUUUCCAGGCCGGUUAGUGAAAUGGGCACCUUUUAUAUGUUUACUGAUCUCCGGACACUCCUCCUUUGUGACGUUUAAGUCUGUUUGCCCAUUUUCCCAUAGAGUUGUCUACCUUUUUCUUGUUAAUUUGCAGGCGUUCUUGACAUAUUUUCACAUUCUGGACAUAAGUCUUUGAGGCUUUGCUGCACGUUUGUAGAGCAAACGCCCCACCACCCGCCCUCCGCUCUGGCUGUGAUGUCCGAGUUUUACUUGUGUUUCAGACUCCACGAGCACUGUUGCGCACUGUGUAUCUUCGCUUGAAUUUGUCCACAAAUGUCAUCACGUCUUCACGUUUUCCUACAGUCUCAGGCCUACACCUGGAAUCAUUUUCCUUUAGCCUCUCCUCCAGUAUUCCUCUUAGCGCAGGGCCAGGGAAGACGGGUUCUCUGUGUUUGUUCCACUUUCUCCUCGGGACGGUGUUUUUGGCUGACCUUUCCCCCGCUGUCUGCACUCUGAGGAGCCAUUCCUUUGUCUUCUGGCUUCUCCUGGGUGUCGGUCACAUGUCCUCCCGCUUUGUGUGUCUAGUGAUUUGGGGUUGUGUCCUGCACAUCAUGACCGAUAUGUUGUAGGGGUUUGGGGCUCUGUGUGUUCUCUUUCAGAGCAUUCUUUUUGUUUGUUUGCUUUAUUGAGGGGUUAACUGAACUGGACUCAAACUGUAAACACUGUCCCCUCUGUGUAAAAUCUCUGUGCUGUUAACUGAGCUGCUUGGAAUCUGUCCUGUGCAAGCGGAGCUCACAGACCAGCCAGGAGUUUGAGCAGAAUUCCUCAGGGAGCAUUUGGGGCUCCCUUUCUGGGGUCAUCCCUCACUUUCCAGCUGCUGUGGUCACCCCCAACUACAUCCUCUGAUUCUUCAAGCCAGCAAGCCUGUGGGUUCCAUCAGGGUUUUGGCCUGCUCUCAGACAUAGAGGCACAAGCCUGGGACACUUACCCAGCGAGUCCUGUGUCCUGAGUGUCUAUGUCCUACAGCCUCUGUCUGGGUAUGGCUGUUCUCUGGGCUGUUGGACAGUUGUCUUUAUGUCCAGUGAUUGUGGAUGUUUCUACGCCAGACCUGGUCCAACUGGAGCCACUUGGCCAUUGCUGGGAGCAACCCUCGGGCAGUUAGGAUGGAGGAGGGCUGGGUCCCACAGCCCAGUCAGGAUGGACCAGAGCGGGAUGGAGAGUCAUUUGGUGAGACUCGGUCUUGCUCUGGCUAGACUCGGUUCAGGGGCUGGUCUCAUCAGAGAUUUAACCAGGAGCCUGGUGGGGCCCAGCCUCCUGCUGGAUACUGCACCAAGAUUUCACAAGUGUUUUGGGGUGGGUGGGACCAGCGGUGUGUCCGAGGACCCCGAAGCCUUCAGUUUUGUCACCUUUGCCCCUGUGGCUGUGGGAAGCUCCUCUGGGUUCUCCUUCUGUCAUUGUGGCUCCUUGCCUGGGCCCAGCCCAGGCCUUGGUCCAGCGCCCGGAACUGAGAAACGCUCCUGGUAGCAGGAUGGCCACCAUCGUUGGCUGUGUGGGCUCUCCCCUAGUGGGCUAGGUCUCCACAGCCCCACAGCUCUCUGAGACUUAGCUGCGAGGCUCUAGUGUGUGUGCGGCCCCUCUCGGUCGCCAGCAGGAGCGACGCCUUCCACGGGGGACCCGCCCCUUCCCGCCCUCCAGGCCCAGCACCACCAGCCCCACCCCGGGGAAUAAAGAUCCAAUGAAAGGCAGGAGCAGAAAGUCUGUUGAAAUCACUGCUUUCCACAUGGCAUUUAAAAAAACACAAAAACUCAAACUUUUAAAACAUGAGUGCCUUUUGCCCCAGUGAUACCAAUCCUGGGACUUACCUCAAGAUGAUGAUUCAGAAUGUGCACAAAGAUCAAGCUCCAGUUUGUGGAUGGCAGUUUACAACGUUGAAAGGAAAACCCUAGAAACAGUGAAUUCCCAGCGGUAGGGAAUUUGUUGAAAAAACACGUGGUUUAUGCAUACGGUAUUCAGUCACACAGUCAUGAAGAAUAUUGUGUUAGAAUUGGUGGAAACAGGAUCACGUUCUGUGGUUGACAGAAGUUAGCAAAAUCCACAGUGGUGGUGGUGAUGGUGUGUUUGCAUACACAUCACGCUCUGGGUAUUCACUAUGUUCUCGUUGUCACUAUUUCCUGACUUUCCAAGACAAUGACUGUUUUGUUGGGCUGUGUUUUUGAGGUACGACUUACAUGAAGUCCAUACGCCUAAAGCGAGCAGCCUGAUGAGGUUUGACAGACAGACCCGUGCGACCCACACCCGGAACAAGAUGGGGAGAAUUUCCGCCUCUCACGAAGCUCCUCCGUGCCUCUUUCUGGCCUCCAGUGUCCUGUGGAUAACAGAUUAAUCAGAGGAACGUGUUUCCAGGCUAGAGGAUGGACGCGAGGUUCUGAGAGGCAUGCCCAGAUCACUCAGUCUCGGGGCCGGGGCGCCAGGGCACCAGCCCCGAGGAUCAGGACCUCAUGACCUCACUUAACCUUUAUCACUGCCUGUCCUGUCCCCAAAUCCAGCCACAAUGGAAUUGGGACUUCAACAGCUUGAAAAUGCGAUGAGAGGGGCGCAUGGGUGGCUCAGUCGGUGAAGCGUCUGCCUUCGGCUCAGGUCAUGAUCCCAGAGUCCUGGGAAUGAGCCCCGCAUCGGGGUCCCUGCUCCGCGGAGAGUCUGCUUCGCCCUCUGCCCCUCCCCCACUCUCGUGCUCGUGCUCUCUCUCUCUCUCUCAAAAAUAAAAAUCUUAAAAAAAAAAAGAAAACGCCACGUGAGAAGAUGGUGAAGGUUGUGUGUGUGCAUGAGCGUACUGGUGGGGGGGUGGUCCCAGCCUCCCCAGCCCGCGCUCCCCAGGCCCUGUCCAGAGAUGACAGAAUGACCUCAUCCACGUAUGGGCAGGUGUCCCAGGGGCCCCCUCUAACCAGCCACAGGUGCCCACUCUGCAGGGGCUAAGACCUCAUCAUGCAGUGACAUUUCAGAUGGCAGGAGAGCGGAGCAGAGCUUUCGGGGGCCGUCUUCCUCACCAGGGCACCUCCACGGCCUGUCUUCUGUGUCCUGUCCCGAUUCAUGGCGAAUACGGGCUCUUUCCCACUCAACCUGGGAAAGCCACCACAGCAGAUAAGGAUGGAUUUAGGGAACCAGAAAAACCAAACAAGA